GACGAACGCUGGCGGCGUGCCUAAUACAUGCAAGUAGAACGCUGAAGGAGGAGCUUGCUUCUCUGGAUGAGUUGCGAACGGGUGAGUAACGCGUAGGUAACCUGCCUGGUAGCGGGGGAUAACUAUUGGAAACGAUAGCUAAUACCGCAUAAUAGUAGAUGUUGCAUGACAUUUGCUUAAAAGGUGCAAUUGCAUCACUACCAGAUGGACCUGCGUUGUAUUAGCUAGUUGGUGGGGUAACGGCUCACCAAGGCGACGAUACAUAGCCGACCUGAGAGGGUGAUCGGCCACACUGGGACUGAGACACGGCCCAGACUCCUACGGGAGGCAGCAGUAGGGAAUCUUCGGCAAUGGACGGAAGUCUGACCGAGCAACGCCGCGUGAGUGAAGAAGGUUGUCGGAUCGUAAAGCUCUGUUGUAAGAGAAGAACGAGUGUGAGAGUGGAAAGUUCACACUGUGACGGUAUCUUACCAGAAAGGGGCGGCUAACUACGUG
rnacentral:rRNA from 1 species